UCACUACUUGCGUAGGCAGUCUGGCUAGAGUCCCCACCACUACGUGCUGGUAACUAACCACAGGGGUUGCGCUCGUUGCGGGACUUAACCCAACACCUCACGGCACGAGCUGACGACAACCAUGCACCACCUGUCACUUUGUCCCCCGAAGGGGAAAGCCCUAUCUCUAGGGUUAUCAAAGGAUGUCAAGACCUGGUAAGGUUCUUCGCGUUGCUUCGAAUUAAACCACAUGCUCCACUGCUUGUGCGGGCCCCCGUCAGUUCCUUUGAGUUUUAGCCUUGCGGCCGUACUCCCCAGGCGGAGUGCUUAACGCGUUAGCUUCGGCAAUGAGAGGGUCAAAAUCUCCCACCGCCUAGCACUCAUCGUUUACAGCGUGGACUAC
rnacentral:misc_RNA from 1 species